rnacentral:rRNA from 1 species
UGGGGAAUAUUGCACAAUGGGCGCAAGCCUGAUGCAGCCAUGCCGCGUGUGUGAAGAAGGCCUUCGGGUUGUAAAGCACUUUCAGCGAGGAGGAAGGUGGUGAGCUUAAUACGCUCAUCAAUUGACGUUACUCGCAGAAGAAGCACCGGCUAACUCCGUGCCAGCAGCCGCGGUAAUACGGAGGGUGCAAGCGUUAAUCGGAAUUACUGGGCGUAAAGCGCACGCAGGCGGUUUGUUAAGUCAGAUGUGAAAUCCCCGGGCUCAACCUGGGAACUGCAUUUGAAACUGGCAAGCUAGAGUCUCGUAGAGGGGGGUAGAAUUCCAGGUGUAGCGGUGAAAUGCGUAGAGAUCUGGAGGAAUACCGGUGGCGAAGGCGGCCCCCUGGACGAAGACUGACGCUCAGGUGCGAAAAGCGUGGGGAGCAAAACAGGAUUAGAUACCCCUGGUAGUCCAGCGCUGUAAAACGAUGUCGAUUUUGGAGGUUGUGCCCUUGAGGCGUGGCUUCCGGAGCUAACGCGUUAAAUCGACCGCCUGGGGGAGUACGGCCGCAAGGUUAAAAACUC